CUCUACUCCAAUUCAAUAAUCCCACUCUCCAUAUACUUCUGAAUCCAUAACAGAAAGAAUAUUAUGAAUUAAAUUAAGCUCAAACAAGAGGAAUUAGCAACAUCCCGAAUAUGCCCACAACCAAUUAAGCAUAAGUUAAACUGAGAACGGCUUCCAACUCCCAGCCUCGCUAACCCUACUGCCAGGUUCUUCCCCGACUCUCUCUAGUCCAUUCAGCUAUAAUCCAAACUCUCCAUCGCCUCUUGGCGAGCUGCCGUGCCAACGCCAUCUCUCUCAGCGAACAACUCUCUCUCUCUCUCUCUCUCUCUCUCCCCUCUAUCUUCUCGUUUUUUCUGCUCGAGCAGAGCAAAGAACCAAUACCACUCAAUAAAAUAAAAUUAAAGAGAUAUAGAAAUACCGGAUCUCACAAUUUCCAUUGCCGAGAGCUCAAAGUUCUCUCUCUGUGAUCAUCUCCUUCCGUUGACUUCCAAUCUGUUGUGAGAAACCAUGGCCGAGCUGAUUCUGGGGAGCGUUGUGGAUUCCAUCACUGGGCAGCUAGCUUCCCUUGUCUCCCGGGAGAUUGGAUUGGCAAGUGGUGUCAAAGCUGAGCUCGGGAAACUCCAAGAUACCAUCGCUGCUAUCAGUGCCCUGCUUCGUGAGGCAGAAAAAAGACAAGUCGAGGCUGAGGAUGUGAAGGACUGGCUCAAAAGGUUGAAAGAUGUGGUUUACGAUGCCGAUGACCUGCUUGAUGACUUCUCCACGGAGGCCCUGCGACGUCAGAGAGCGACGGGAAGAGGUAAGCGGAUCCUCUAUGAGGUGCUUAUAUUCUUCUCCUCGUCUAACCAGCUGAUUUACGCCAGUAAGAUGGCUCAUCGAGUCAUGGAGAUCAGGGGGAGGAUUGACGCCAUUAAGAGUGAUAAGUUGGAUUGCAAUGUCGGGGAAAACAAUAAUCUCGCGAGUUUUGUGGAGAACCGACCUAGACCGGAAACCUAUCCAUUUGACUCGGAACCAUACGUGAUUGGAAGAAAAAAUGCCAAGAAGGAAGUUGUCCAGUUCUUGCUCAAUCCUGAUUUUGAGGAGAAUGUUUCCAUUCUCGCAAUAGUAGGUGUUGGAGGCUUAGGGAAGACGACUCUAGCAAGACUCGUAUUCAACGAUGAAAGUAUCCAGGAAUAUUUCGAGCUGAAGCUCUGGGUUUGUGUGUCAACCAAUUUCUGUGUGGAGGAUAUUCUAAGAAAGAUAAAACGAGAAUGUACUUCUGGAAAAGAUCUCACAAGUAUGAAUGUGGUGGGCUCGCAAAAAGUGCUGGGAGAAGAGCUACAAAAAAAGAAGUAUCUACUCGUGCUGGACGAUGUAUGGAAUGAAAAUCGGUGUGAGUGGUUGAAACUGGAACAAUUCCUUGUGAAUAGUGCAAGAGGAAGUAAGAUAUUGGUGACCACUCGUUCUCGCCGCGGGGCCACAACUAUGACUCGAACCUUUUAUGAAUUGAAUGACUUGCCUGAGCAUGAGUCGCUGAAACUGCUAAUGCGAAUGGCAAUGAAGCAAGAACAUGAGUGGAGGAAUCAAAAUUUAGAAACGAUCGCAAAAGAGAUUCUAAAAAAAUGUGUUGGAGUUCCCCUUGCAAUUAUGACCAUUGGGCGAUUGUUAUUGUUCUUGAGAAAUACCGAAGAGGAAUGGUUGAACUUCAAAAAUAAUGAUUUUUCAAGAAUAGAUCAAAAGGAAGGUGACAUCAUGCCAUCGCUUAAGCUGAGCUAUGAUUUUCUGCCAUCGCAUUUGAAACAGUGUUUUGCUUACUGCAGCCUGUUUCCAAAAGAUUAUGAGCUGGAUCCACUUGAGCUCAUAAAUAUUUGGAUGGCACAAGGGUUUAUCGGGCCCCUAGGCAAUAAGAAAACCGUCGAAGCAGUAGGUCAUGAUUAUUUCAUGGAGCAGCUUUCGAGAUCCUUUUUUCAGGACAUCGAAGAAGAUAAUUGUGGGAACAUCGUGAGAUGCAAGAUGCAUGAUUUGAUGCAUGACCUUGCACAGUCAGUUGCGGGAGAUAUUUGCAUCACCAUUGAUAGCUCACAUGCGAAAAGCUUGCCGAAAGGUGCUCGCCAUGUAUCUAUUACGUUUGAUUUGGACGAGAUUAAAGGGUUUGAGAGAGACCAAAGAAUAAGGUCCCUAUUUCUUAUGGUUGAAAAGAGAAUUCUGAUUGCUCUUCUAGAGGUUUCGUGUUUUAGAAAUCUUCGGGCGCUACGUAUUCGUGCUGUCAACAUAAAGGCGAUAUCAAAGUCUAUCGGUAAACUGAAGCAUUUGAGGAGCCUUGAUCUCUCAGAGAAUUAUAAGUUAACUUCUCUUCCGAAUUCUAUUAGCAGGUUGUGCAACUUGGAGAUCCUUAAUCUUAGUGGUUGUUUCUGGCUAGAAGGAUUACCGAGAGGCAUUACAAAGUUAGUGAAUUUAAGGCAGCUUGAUCUGAUUGAUUGUCAUGCGUUAACACAUAUGCCAAGGGGAAUUGGAAAGUUGACUAGUCUGCAAAUGUUGAAUGUAUUCGUGGUGGGGAAGAAAUCGAACAAAAAUGCUGCAAGGUUGAAUGAGUUGAGCAGACUUGCCGGAAUAUUAUUGAGGAAUAAACAACUGCGUAUUGAAGGCUUGGAAAAUGUGGAAAGUAUUUCGAACGAGGAGGAUGCUUCAUUCUCAGUGGAGAAGUUUGCUAUUCAAGAGUUGGGACUACAUUGGGGGUGGGCCCCUCACGGAGUUAGGGCCAAUGAAGAGGUUUUAGAGAGACUGCGACCCCAUCGAUAUAUUAAAGGAUUGGAUAUAGUUGGAUACGAUGGUUUCAGGCUUUCAUCCUGGCUUUCUCAACUGCAUGAUCUUGUCGAGAUUCGGAUUUCUGCUUGUCGACAAUGCAACCAUCUACCACCUCUGGAUCAUCUCCCUUUCCUAAAAAAAAUCUGCUUAGAGCGUUAGGAUAAUUUGGAGUGUGUAGAAUUAUCGGAGAGUAGUGGGACGCUGCAGUCUUUCUAUCCAUCCUUAAAGGAAAUAGAGCUGCGGGGUUUGAAUAAAUUCAAGGGAUGGGAGAGGAGGAGCAGGAGGGACAACAGAGUUGGACAUGAAGAAGAUAUUCUGGAGGAGGAGGAGGAGGAUCAUUCUUCUUUAUUAAUGCUCUGCGGGUUUGCCGACAAUGUCAAAAUUCGUAUAAGUGACUGCCCAGAAUUCUCUUACAUGCAAGGUGAACAGCUACACAUGUCGGUCACCACGAUCAAACUUCUGGAACAGUUGUUGAGGAAUGCUGCAGACCACUCCGAUCCACACACCGGCCACCACCCCACAAAUUUCCCCACGUUGGCAGUGCCAAAUCCAUCCACAUCAAAGAUGACGUUGAUCUCCAAAUCUUCUAUUCCUGUCUUCUCUCUAACGUCACUUGCCAUUGAUAGCAUGAAUGAUGCGGACCACUUGCUGAUGGAGUUGUUUCAGUCCGUCCCGUCUCUCAAGUCUCUUGCCAUCGGUAAUUUGUCUCGCCUGAAAGCUCUCUCUGGGAGGGCGAUCCUUCGGUACCUACCCGCCCUCGAGAAGCUGGAAAUAUAUAACUGUGAAGAGCUUGAUUUAUCAAUUGAGGAUGACGAUGAAGAUGAUGGUUGUGGUGGUGGUGAAGGCAUGCACCAAUUACAGGGUGGCCAUAAGCUUCGCCAAAUUAUGAUCAGAGGCGUUCGGAAGACGAGGUCUUUGCCUGGGUGGUUCCAGUACCUCACCAACCUCCAAGAAUUAACGAUUAUCCAUUGCGUUGACUUGAAGUCUCUGCCCAGAAGAUUGUUUCUUCAGCUUCUCACCACCCUCGAGUCGUUGUCGCUAUGCGACAAUCCAGAACUUGACUUGUCGACGACAUGGGAGGCGGGAGAUCAAGAAGACAUGUCUAAUUUGCAAUUCGGUAAGCUCCGAGAGUUGACUUUCUUGGGGCAACAAAUGGAGACUCUCCCGUGGUGGAUUCAGCACCUCACUAACCUUGAACACUUAGAAAUCUACAACUGCAGCAAUCUGAAGGCUUUACCUGCGUGGUUUCCCCAGCUCACCUCACUCCAACAUCUUGAAGUUAACGACUGUGGGGAGGAGCUGACGAGAAGGUGCAAAAGGAAUACCGGAGAGGACUGGCCUAAGAUUUCUCACAUCCCACACUUUUUCGUGGCCUGAAGUGUAGUGGCUUCACACUGAAGCUGAAACUCUUAAGCUGCCGAGAGACGUCGAGUGUCGAAGUUCACCUUUUUCAACGGGAAAAAUUUAAGAUACUCCUUUGCCCUCGUCAAUGAAGCCUUUUCUCAUUCCUCUGUGAGGUUUCAUGAAGAGGAUGCCAAUUCCUGUAAGCAGUGGAGAUAUUAUUCUAUCACCAGCUCAGAUGCCCAUCUUCCUAGUCGCAUUUGUUAAAGAGGGAGACAUUUUUGCAGAUUUUUUUUGCAACUUCCAAACUUCAGCAUAUAUGAAGAGAGUUGGAUACGUCUUAUCUCAAAAUCAGCAUCUCCAGUUUUGAAGGCACCAGCUUGCCCAACCUGUCAGAGUCCAUGAUUGAAACUGCCGUUCCGAAACUUAUGCGAGUCUGAAAUUGUUCAGUUCUCUCCUGGCCAUUCACACGUCAUGGUUCUGGCCAUUCACACGUCAUGGUUCAUGCAGCAACAUUACUAUGUGAAUUCUCAUCCUUAUUGAUGAUGUUCUCGCCAUUAUGGCAUAUAUAUGAAUGGACACUCAAAUAAAAGACUCGAGUAACAAUGCAUGGAGCCUCCAUUACGGGAUGAUUCGAGAGGCUUAUGUCUCGGUGAGAGCGUGAUUAAUUUGGGAUUGGUGGCAGGUCCCUUAAAUUAAUCUCGUACUUUUUGGAUCCUUUAGAGAGAAGUGGCUUGGUUUCGCUCGGUAUUGGGUUCAUCUCCUUAACCCCUUCUUUGAGGGUUAAUGCAACAAUCAACAUCUGCAGUGUUCCCGAACAAAUAGAUAUACUGUUGAUUUAGUACGUUUUAGAAGUCCUACUGUGCUAAAUCUGAUUUUACUGAAUUUCCCCAAGGACCAUCUUGACACCUGCUCCCCACCGCCACGACCAUGUGAACCCCUGAAGGAUCAAAACAGGAUCAAAAGAGUAGUACUGUGACUGAUAAAUUCCGUAGAAG